GACGAACGCUGGCGGCGUGCUUAACACAUGCAAGUCGAACGGACAGGCCCUGCUUUUGUGGGGUGCUCGAGUGGCGAACGGGUGCGUACCACGUGAGUAACCUGCCCUUGACUUUGGGAUAACUUCAGGAAACUGGGGCUAAUACCGGCUAGUGGCUCCUGCUGCAUGGUGGGGGUUGGAAAUUUUCGGCGGUUGGGGAUGGACUCGCGGCUUAUCAGCUUGUUGGUGGGGUAGUGGCUUACCAAGGCGUUGACGGGUAGCCGGCCUGAGAGGGUGACCGGCCACAGUGGGACUGAGAUACGGCCCAGACUCCUACGGGAGGCAGCAGUGGGGAAUAUUGCACAAUGGGCGGAAGCCUGAUGCAGCAACGCCGCGUGCGGGAUGACGGCCUUCGGGUUGUAAACCGCUUUCGCCUGUGACGAAGCGUGAGUGACGGUAAUGUGUAAAGAAGCACCGGCUAACUACGUG
rnacentral:rRNA from 1 species